UGGGGAAUAGGCCCUUCAAAGCAAAGACUAGAUUGUCCCAGACAGAGGUGAACGGUGGUGUAAGGGCUGAAAAGGGGGUCGAUCCUGACUUAAAUACCAGCCACCACCCGCAUGGAGAUGACUUUUUCCUCCUGCUCCUCACCAGUCACACCAUGGCCAACAUUGGCGUAGAUCGUCCCCGGACAGUGGAAACGCAGCUGUGGGCUGGCACGUCCCCAGCUCUGCGCCUACUGGGGAGGAAAGGGGACCUUCAGGCAAACAAACCUCACCAGGUCUCCAGGACACAUGAUGAAGCUGUGGACCUCUUCACUGCAGGAACCCAUGCAGAGCCAUAGGACCACCCCCGGCUGGAACCAGUUGUGUGGCAGACACAGUGGAGGUGAGGAAAAGAUGUGAAGAACCUUGUAAAGGACAAAUGAAGAGUUGCAGAAGUAGGCACCUUCCGACACUGUCUCCUAAACACAGAGGGAUCCUCUAAGGCUCGUCCUCUUCUGGGAUUGUCACCCUGCUCCUGGGAGAGGAGUUCAGCCUCGGUUCAUCUGGAGUCCAGGCGCAGGGUUGCAGGAGGAGAAGGGACGUGAUGCGUUGGCUGAACUCUCUGGAGAAGUUAGCGAAUGUCCUCACGUCGCCAAGCUGCGAGGAGCCGUGGGCACCAUAAAAGAUAACAACGAAUUUUAUCUGAUGCAUCCACGAUCUGGAAAGAGAUUAUUUUUCGUGAUGCUGAGCUGACUUUUCUGACCAUCUCGAUGCAGACUUGGAGUCAUGUGUGGGGUCCCAGGAGGGAAAAGGAGGGGUGAUUCAUGUUGCAGCUAUCAGUGUUUCACACAUCUGCCAGCGUGGUGUGCCCCAGCUGAGAACUUCAAUUCACCUCGUGCAAGAUGAAAUGGCAGCUGCGUUGGAUUGAUGAAACAAUAAUAAUCACAAUGAAAUAAUAGGAUUAAUGCCAGCAAUUGCUGUUUAACCAAAAGGUCAUUUUGACAGAUGUAACUUUUAUCAGGAAGCAUCAAAAUAUCAGAUUUGUUUUUGAUUUUUUGAGGAGAGGGCACUAAGAAGACAAAGUGGGGAUGAUGAACAUGCCAGGAGUUUGGGCUCUGGCAUUUGGCUGAAAGCAGCUCCCGGUCUGCAAACGGCAGGUCCUCAGCUCCAGGGACAUCGUGGCCACAGCUCCACUGUGACCAGCUCCAGGCUCUGCCCUUUGGCUGAACUCCUGUCUUUUUAUUUUUAACUCAUCUCCUGAAACUGUGGGCAGGUUUCUGCUUUCUGCACCAGAAAACACCUCCUGCCUUGUCUUUAAAACUUGAUGCACCACCACUUUGGUUCCCACUUGCUCUUGGUGGCCUGUCUGGUCCCCACGUGCAGCCUCAGCUCUCCAGGGACUGCACCAGUUAUGCCAACACCAUCUGCUCUGCCUUUCCUCCCUGGACCGGCCUAGUGCCCAUCCUAAGGAUGAUGAGGCUAAACUACAUACACAUGAAAAAGAUGGUUGUGUAGCUCCGCUCCUUGCCCAGGGCUGUGUCAGAAGGUGAAAAGCUGAUUGGGAAGACUGAGUCUUUAAUUGUGUGUCUCCCUUCCGCCAGUGGCUUUGCUGGAUCUCCACCUCUCUGCUUUCCCACCGGAGCCUGUCCUUGACCUCCACUGCAACCCUGGAUUUGCCCAGCGGGUCUCACGUCCCUCCUGGAGGAGGGACUCUGCUUCGUCCCGCUGCCAGAGGAUUCCAUCUGGGCUCUCCAUCCUUCCUCGCUGCCCCACAGGCUGUGCUUUUUCCCUUCUCUGAAGGUCAGAGUGGUGUCCUAGAACCUGCCAUGACGUGCGUCCUCACUGCCGUGGGUACCGUGUCCAGGGACGUCACCGCCGGCUUCCCCACAUCACAACACCUUGCACCCAGACACACUCCAUCGGCCUCAGGCUCCGCAUUUCGGAAGCUCCCAGGGUCUCCCAGCAUGCCGGGGACAGAGCUGGGAGGCUCCCCCCUCCUGCCCGCUCAAGCUGCCGCUGCGGGUGGUUUCUAACUUUCUGGGUGUGCACCUGCAAGCAGAGCCCAGUUAAAACCAGUGCACCCCAGUUCAGCAUGGGGAGCAGCGGGGUGGCUUUAUUUUUUACUUUGCAAGCGAGAGGCGCUUUCCAGCGCGAUCCCGAAGUGGGUCUCCUCUCGGCUUUGCUGACUGAAGUGCGGGACCGUGCUAUUUGCAGCCGAGAAGCUGCUCUCCCACCGCUCCCGGCUCAAAUGCAAACAGGAGCCAUGGGAGGCCAGCCCGUCUCUAACGGCGCACAUCAAUCUGAAGGGAAGAGACAAAAUCCCCAAAUCUCAAAAUAAUGAAAACAAAGAUAUCCGAGUAAUAAAAUCUGCAAGGAGCACAAAGACAGCACAACUCAGAUCUCAGCUGGCUCAAAGAAAGCGUCCAUUAACAAGGGAUUAGCGGGAGGGAAGUACACAACCAGUCCAUAGGAAGUGAAAACACACCGCACGGUCGCCUGAUAUCACAGCCCAGCGUUAGGAUGAAGGCUGUGUUGGGCAGGUUAGAAUAAGAGCUAUUCCAGAAAUCUAUAAAAAAAAAAAAUAGAAAAAAAAAGCACUGCAAAAGCUGCCUUUGCUGUGGCACCUGCUUUGUAAGAAACCUUGAAGACUUGUAGUUUUCAGUCAAAGAGAAAACAUCGUGUCCUUUUGCUGUGCCCGCUCCCGUGCACCCCUCCCGUACUGCACUUCACCAUUACAUCCCGGAAAUAGAGGUUUGGUUUUUUUCUUGUCUUGGGGGUUGUGUAUCUCCUCCCACAGCCAGGUCGGGUUUGGACUUGGACCUUUCGGAUGCCCUGGUAACGCGAACGGGAAUAAAAAAGGAGUGAGCUUGAUUAUG